CGAAGGGGGCUAGCGUUGUUCGGAAUUACUGGGCGUAAAGCGUACGUAGGCGGAUUUGUAAGUAGGGGGUGAAAUCCCCAGGCUCAACCUGGGAACUGCCUUCUAGACUGCAAGUCUUGAGAUCAGGAGAGGCGAGUGGAAUACCGAGUGUAGAGGUGAAAUUCGUAGAUAUUCGGUGGAACACCAGUGGCGAAGGCGACUCGCUGGACUGAUACUGACGCUGAGGUACGAAAGCGUGGGGAGCAAACAGGAUUAGAUACCCUGGUAGUCCACGCCUUAAACGAUGAGAGCUAGUUGUCAGUAAGCAUGCUUAUUGGUGACGCAGCUAACGCAUUAAGCUCUCCGCCGUGGGGAGUACGGCCGCAAGGUUA
rnacentral:rRNA from 1 species